GAUGAACGCUGGCGGCGUGCCUAAUACAUGCAAGUCGAGCGAACAGACGAGGAGCUUGCUCCUCUGACGUUAGCGGCGGACGGGUGAGUAACACGUGGAUAACCUACCUAUAAGACUGGGAUAACUUCGGGAAACCGGAGCUAAUACCGGAUAAUAUAUUGAACCGCAUGGUUCAAUAGUGAAAGACGGUUUUGCUGUCACUUAUAGAUGGAUCCGCGCCGCAUUAGCUAGUUGGUAAGGUAACGGCUUACCAAGGCAACGAUGCGUAGCCGACCUGAGAGGGUGAUCGGCCACACUGGAACUGGGACACGGACCAGACUCCUACGGGAGGCAGCAGUAGGGAAUGUUCCGCAAUGGGCGAAAGCCUGACGGAGCAACGGCGAGUGAGUGAUGAAGGUCUUGGGAUCGUAAAACUCUGUUAUUAGGGAAGAACAAAUGUGUAAGUAACUAUGCACGGCUUGACGGUACCUGAUCAGAAAGCCACGGCUAACUACGUG
rnacentral:rRNA from 1 species